rnacentral:rRNA from 1 species
AUUGAACGCUGGCGGCAUGCCUUACACAUGCAAGUCGAACGGCAGCACGGGAGCAAUCCUGGUGGCGAGUGGCGAACGGGUGAGUAAUAUAUCGGAACGUGCCCAGUCGUGGGGGAUAACGUAGCGAAAGCUACGCUAAUACCGCAUACGAUCUAUGGAUGAAAGCGGGGGAUCGCAAGACCUAGCGCGAUUGGAGCGGCCGAUAUCAGAUUAGGUAGUUGGUGAGGUAAAGGCUCACCAAGCCGACGAUCUGUAGCUGGUCUGAGAGGACGACCAGCCACACUGGGACUGAGACGCGGCCCAGACGCCUACGGGAGGCAGCAGUGGGGAAUUUUGGACAAUGGGCGCAAGCCUGAUCCAGCAAUGCCGCGUGCAGGAUGAAGGCCUUCGGGUUGUAAACUGCUUUUGUACGGAACGAAACGGCGAGCUCUAAUACAGUUUGCUAAUGACGGUACCGUAAGAAUAAGCACCGGCUAACUACGUGCCAGCAGCCGCCGCCG